AUUGAACGCUGGCGGCAGGCCUAACACAUGCAAGUCGAGCGGAUGAAGGGAGCUUGCUCCUGGAUUCAGCGGCGGACGGGUGAGUAAUGCCUAGGAAUCUGCCUGGUAGUGGGGGAUAACGUCCGGAAACGGGCGCUAAUACCGCAUACGUCCUGAGGGAGAAAGUGGGGGAUCUUCGGACCUCACGCUAUCAGAUGAGCCUAGGUCGGAUUAGCUAGUUGGUGGGGUAAAGGCCUACCAAGGCGACGUUCCGUAACUGGUCUGAGAGGAUGAUCAGUCACACUGGAACUGAGACACGGUCCAGACUCCUACGGGAGGCAGCAGUGGGGAAUAUUGGACAAUGGGCGAAAGCCUGAUCCAGCCACGCCGCGUGUGUGAAGAAGGUCUUCGGAUUGUAAAGCACUUUAAGUUGGGAGGAAGGGCAGUAAGUUAAUACCUUGCUGUUUUGACGUUACCAACAGAAUAAGCACCGGCUAACUUCGUG
rnacentral:rRNA from 1 species